AGAUAUUUCACACAAGGGUGUACAUCAAACGGGUCAUUAGUUAUAAAGAAGGGGCGUGGCUAAAGCAUAAGGUAUGGGCAAAACCAUCACCACUU